rnacentral:lncRNA from 1 species
GUCCUCUUUUGGAAGGCCAAACAAAGUAGUUUCGCUUUCACAACGAAACACAGCGUCACACACGGCGGGCUAGAGUGAGCGGAGGCCGGAGGCCUAGAGUGAGCGGCGGCCGGCUUCAAUAAUAUCCAGCUGCAGCCCCGCAGCCCCACACGUUUCAGGACACACAAUCCAGACCACACGAUCCAGGCCGGAAGUGAGGGGCGGAGUUAGUAAAACGUAACAACAUGGCGGAGAGCAGGGGAAUGGAUGUGUGGACAGCUGACGCAUAUGUUGUGGCUACCUGGUUACCUCCAAAUAAUUUGGACCCAUCACUGUCUUUUCCAGUAAGGCCAUAAAGUUACAUCACAUUCAUAAUACUGAAAAUGUAAUUUAAAUCUGACUUAAAAAAAACUUUUUAUUAAAAAAAAUGUAUUUUAAAAUUAUCUAUAGGAUCACAUUGCAUUCAAAGAUGCUAUUGUCUUUCCUGCUUGGAAGCCAGGACACUGGAUGUUGUGUGUAAGUUAUAUGGAAUUUGGUUACUAAAUAUAUAAUUGCAUCUGUAAAUUGCCUUCAUUUGUCUU